rnacentral:rRNA from 1 species
GACGAACCGAGCGAACGUUGUUCGGAAUAACUGGGCUUAAAGGGCGCGUAGGCGGGCUGUCAAGUCUGGGGUGAAAUGCCGCGGCUCAACCGUGGAACUGCCUCAGAUACUGACGGCCUCGAGGGAGGUAGGGGCGAGCGGAACUAAUGGUGGAGCGGUGAAAUGCGUUGAUAUCAUUAGGAACUCCGGUGGCGAAGGCGGCUCGCUGGAUCUCUUCUGACGCUGAGGCGCGAAAGCUAGGGGAGCAAACGGG